rnacentral:rRNA from 1 species
GACGAACGCUGGCGGCGUGCUUAACACAUGCAAGUCGAACGGACAGGCCCUGCUUUUGUGGGUUGCUCGAGUGCCGCACGCGUGAGUAACACAUGAGUAACCUGCCCUUGACUUUGGGAUAACUUCAGGAAACUGGGGCUAAUACCGGAUAGGAGCUCCUACUCCAUGGUGGGGGUUGGAAAGUUUCGGCGGUUGGGGAUGGACUCGCGGCUUAUCAGCUUGUUGGUGGGUUAGUGGCUUACCAAGGGUUUGACGGGUAGCCGACCUGGGAGGGUGACCGGGCACAAGAGGACUGAGAUACGGCGCAGACUCCUACGGGAGGCAGCAGUGGGGAAUAUUGCACAAUGGGCGGAAGCGUGAUGCAGCAACGCCGCGUGCGGGAUGACGGCCUUCGGGUUGUAAACCGCUUUCGACUGAGACGAAGCGGGAGUGACGGUAAUGGGUAAAGAAGCACCGGCUAACUACGUG